ensembl:lncRNA
CUUAAUUAAUAGUGUGUCAUGUUUGUGUCUGUAGGUCUGGUAGCACCAAUGAUUUGGAUAAACGCCGCAUGGCAUUUGGAAAGAACUUACUCCCCCCACAGAAGCCCAAGUUGUUCCUGCAGCUGUUGUGGGAGACUGUGGACUUGACACUGAAGAUUGUUGAAGUUUUUGCAAUUAUCUCAUUGGGCUUGUCCUUCUACAAACCACCAGAGGACAACAAUGAAGCAGGACAAGAAUCCAGAGCAGACCUCUAAGUCAUCACAAACUACUUCAAGAAACACAAGCUGAAGCUGUUAAAAAUCACAAUCUGCUGACCUGUAGAUCACUAAGCCAAGAUGGCGCCGGGGGAAGGCGCCGUCGCAAGAGCUCUCCUGUGCGCAGUCUAUUUUAUGUUUGUAUUCGUUUUUGAAACGCUUGCCACUGUAAGAUAUGAUCGUGAGACACUUCUGAAGAUCCGGGAUGAAGGUUGUGGACUACCACAUGUUAUUCCCGAACUGAAGUGUGCUGAUUUUGUUGCGUGCCCUACUCGGGGCAAGAGAAGCCAUGAGUUGAGCCACGGAGAUCGGGAGCAGAGCGAGGGAACUGGGCGGAGGCAUCGUCACACACGCCGCUCACCUGAGCCUCAGAGCGCUGACGCUACAGGUUGCCUGCGGCGGAAGCGCAGACACCGAGGAAAGCGGGGAGGGCUGCUCGUGAAGCUACGCAGCCGCCCGUCGAGGAUUCCGCUGCCAUCCAUCUACCUGGCAAACGUCCAGUCAUUGUCCAACAAGACGGACGACCUGUUGUGCCGCAUCCACACCCAGCGCGAGGUCCGGGAAAGCUCCGUGUUCUGCCUGACCGAGACAUGGCUUCAUUGCAACGUGCCGGACUCUACUUUCCAGCCACCGGGAUUCUCCGUUCACCGCUCGGACAGAGUGAAAGAGCGCACCGGGAAAUCGAAGGGAGGAGGACUCUCCCUUAAAGGCGGUACAGAUGCUGUGGAUAAACUUCAUCAUGGACCCUCUGGCCGCUCUGGCUCUUGCCACCAACCAGCCGACGGAGUCUCUGCUCAAACAAAAAUCUUGCGGACGCAACAAAACCCUCAUCUCCAGGACCAUGAUGAAGAACAUUCUGGGCCACGCCGUGUACCAGCUUGUCGCUAUUUUUAUCCUGGUCUUUGCUGGUGAGCUUAGGGGAAUCCUCCAUCCAAGUUUAGAGACAUCUGUGUAAUUAUAGAAGAUCUUAGAUUCACUUUGUGGUUCUUUUCUUUCAUUACUUCUCAGGUGAGAAAUUGUUUAGUAUUGACUGUGGCCGCAAUGCUCCCCUGGACUCCCGGCAUCAGUGCAUUACACUAUUGUGUUUAAUGCAUUCAUUAUGAUCCCUAUCUAUGAUACCUACACUGUAACAAAUUGCUGUAAAAAUACAGCAUAUUUUGUACAGUAAUAUACCGUUCUUUGUAAAUACAGCUGAAUACUGUAAAUUCACGUGUUUUUCAAGAACAAAAUAUUAACAGCAAGCUACCGUACAAUCUUACAGCAGAUUACAGUAUUUUUCUGGUUUGGGUUGAUUUGAGUGUGACUGUUGCUGCAGUCGGGCUGCACAGUGGCGUAGUGGUUAGCACUUUCGCCUUGCAGCAAGAAGGUCCCUGGUUCGCGUCCCGGCUUUCCCCGGAUCUUUCUGCAUGGAGUUUGCAUGUUCUCCCUGUGCAUGCGUGGGUUCUCUCCG